rnacentral:rRNA from 1 species
AGAGUUUGAUCAUGGCUCAGAAUCAACGCUGGCGGCGUGCCUAACACAUGCAAGUCGAACGCGAAAGUCCCGCAAGGGAUCGGUAGAGUGGCAAACGGGUGAGUAACACGUGGGUGACCUGCCUUCGAGUGGGGGAUAACGUCCCGAAAGGGACGCUAAUACCGCAUGACAUCCUGCCUUUGAACAGGCGGAGAUCAAAGCUGGGGAUCGCAAGACCUAGCGCUUGGAGAGGGGCCCGCGUCCGAUUAGCUAGUUGGUGAGGUAACGGCUCACCAAGGCAACGAUCGGUAGCCGGCCUGAGAGGGCGGACGGCCACACUGGGACUGAGACACGGCCCAGACUCCUACGGGAGGCAGCAGUGGGGAAUUGUUCGCAAUGGGCGCAAGCCUGACGACGCAACGCCGCGUGGAGGAUGAAGAUCUUCGGGUCGUAAACUCCUUUCGAUCGAGACGAACGGCUUCCGGGCUAAUCACCGGGAGAGUGACGGUACCGAGAGAAGAAGCCCCGGCUAACUCCGUGCCAGCAGCCGCGGUAAUACGGGGGGGGCAAGCGUUGUUCGGAAUUACUGGGCGUAAAGGGCUCGUAGGCGGCCAACUAAGUCAGACGUGAAAUCCCUCGGCUUAACCGGGGAACUGCGUCUGAUACUGGAUGGCUUGAGGUUGGGAGAGGGAUGCGGAAUUCCAGGUGUAGCGGUGAAAUGCGUAGAUAUCUGGAGGAACACCGGUGGCGAAGGCGGCAUCCUGGACCAAAUCUGAUGCCGAGGAGCGAAAGCCAGGGGAGCAAACGGGAUUAGAUACCCUAGUAGUCC